rnacentral:rRNA from 1 species
GACGAACGCUGGCGGCGUGCUUAACACAUGCAAGUCGAACGGAAAGGCCCUGCUUUUGUGGAGUGCUCGAGUGGCGAACGGGUGAGUAACACGUGAGUAACCUGCCCUUGACUUUGGGAUAACUUCAGGAAACUGGGGCUAAUACCGGAUAGGAGCUCCUGCUGCAUGGUGGGGGUUGGAAAGUUUCGGCGGUUGGGGAUGGACUCGCGGCUUAUCAGCUUGUUGGUGGGGUAGUGGCUUACCAAGGCUUUGACGGGUAGCCGGCCUGAGAGGGUGACCGGCCACAUUGGGACUGAGAUACGGCCCAGACUCCUACGGGAGGCAGAAGUGGGGAAUAUUGCACAAUGGGCGGAAGCCUGAUGCAGCAACGCCGCGUGCGGGAUGACGGCCUUCGGGUUGUAAACCGCUUUCGCCUGUGACGAAGCGUGAGUGACGGUAAUGGGUAAAGAAGCACCGGCUAACUACGUG